rnacentral:lncRNA from 1 species
AUUUAAUCCAGUAUUAUAUAUGUAUAUAAGCAGUAGAUGAAAAUGUAGUAUCAGUAGACAAAACAUGAACCUGAACUAAUAAGUUACUGUUCUCUCUUUUCAGCUAUGUGACAGCCUCAAAAAUGAUACUCCUGUGUAAGGGUCUGCAGCGAAUCACAGCCAGCCGCCAGAGAGAAGCAAAUGUAACCACAGGACAUGUGACACAGUUGAUGGACACCCUAUGUUCAUCAAUGGACAGAAAGUUCCACAGAAUGGAAUAUAAUCACGUGCUAUCAGAAACAGCUGCACUUGACCCCAAGUUUAAGAAGUUAGCCUUCAGUGAUGCCAGAGCGAUUGAUGAGGCUCUUCAAAGAAUAACCUUUGCAGCAGGGAGGGACAGCCCCAGCAGUCAGCGUGCUCAGGCACCAGGGCAACAGGAAGAAGAGGGAUCAGAUGGAGCAGAAGCACCAGCAGUAGUGCCACAAACGUCUGCUGGGGAUGCUGUUUGACGAGAGAGCAACUGGGGAUGCAGCACAAAGGAAUCCCUCAGCAGAUGCCAUAAUGGAGGUCCGAUCCUAUUUGGAGGAGCCACUCCUCCAAAGAUCUGCAGAUCCUCUGAGCUGGUGGAAGAACAAGGCCUCUGUCUACCCACGGUUUACUAAAGUCAUGACAGGGAGACUCUGCAUAGUGGCCACAUCCGUUCCCUCUGAGAGGGUCUUCUCGAAACGGGACAAAUAAUUACUGAGAGAAGAAACCGCAUCAGCCCCUCGAAAAAAAAGAAAGGAGCAGCUGCGGACCAGAAGACUGCAGCCAAGGCAGCACUGGUCCACACCUGCAUGUCUGUCUGGUCUAAUUCCUGAAAUGGAAAAACAGAAGUCUGUGCGCUCUUGGAAAGUGAUAAAAGUUCAUAUGGUGCUCUUUGAUGUCCCAGUUUGCGUCCUGUUAUGGAAACAGCACUCUCCAUCAGCCUCUCCAACUCUUUGGGAAGGGCCCUAAGUGUGGCUACAUGUCCCUCAUCGCCUACCGUAGCCCUCGUAAUGUCCCCCGCCCGCAUCUGGCAUGCAAUGCCCCUAAAUUGACUCUAUGUCAGAUCUGCAGAAUGCUGCGUGUGAUGCGUUUUGAGGCUGCUGCUGCAGGCAACAACAGGAAGCAAGCAUCUUCUCCUCCUCCACCACCUAGCUCUCCGGCCAAGUCAAACAGGAGAUGUCUGCCUUCCUGCUUUCGCCACAGACGUAAUACUACUAACAUAAAGAGAUUUGGAUGAUAAUGGAUCCCAAAAAGCCCACCCCCUGCCCUUCCAACAAUCCUUACCCAGCCGAUGGGAGUGAGUUCCCUUCACGUUUCCACACAAACCAGUACAGAGAAAUACAGACUCCAUGUCCCCAUGCUUUGUUUGUUGGGGGUAGGGAGGGCACUCCUGAGACAAAGAAAACAUGUAUUUUGUGUACCAGUGACUGACAGACUCAGCUUCGACCACACUGAUUUAUUUUGUCUUGUGUGUAAUUUCAACAGGUGAAACUCUG